rnacentral:lncRNA from 1 species
UAUCAGUAGGUAUGUAUGCCGGAACAUGGGUCAUGUAUAAGGCUAUUCCUGAAACCUAUGCUGAUGCAUCUACUCGCAAUGCUCGUCUUCUUCAUUUUUCCCCUAUCUUUAGCUCAUUUUGGCCAAAUGGCAUGGGAUUUGCUAAAGCAGGGUGGACCUUUACCUUUUGAUCAGAAAACAUAUAAAGAAGCUGAUUCCUGACAGCGAGCACCAGGAAUAACAGCCCAAAUCUGCGCUAGGAAAACCUGGAAACGAUGCUCUUGUUAAAUCGAGCCACAACAUACGGUCUCAUUGCAAAAAGCAUGAGCAGUCUUGGAUUACUUUAUUCUCCACUGCCGUGAAGAGAUUGCCCUCGAGAACAGUGUUGCUCACAUCUCGUUGUUAGAGUACUUUAAUCAUUCUUAAAUUUGAAGAUAACAUCGGUUCUGUAGGAUCAGAGUGCACUCUACUCUUUUUUUUCCGUGGUUUUCAGCUUGUAAGAACUUCCCAGCCCGCUUUGUUAGGUGGGUCAUGCUUGCUGGAAUCCUUGUUCUUCAAUUGUUAGUUUUGUCUUUCUUUUUUUGGUUUUUUGUCCAAGUUUUGAUGUGCAUAUGUUUGGAUGCUGUGUUGUUGGUACUAAAAAAUUAAGGGGUGACAGUCAUAUGAUUCGAAUUAGGAGAGAGUGAGCUGAAGUAGAGAACCAAGGAUGCAUAGUUUCUCUCCUCCAAGAAACUUUAGAUUGAAAGCUGUAAAAGUCUUGGGAAAUAAUAUGGAUAACUUUGAUCAGAUGAAAAAGGCAGCCACUGGAAAAAAUCGCCACUGGAAAAAAUCUAUUUCCUUUGCAUCUGAAACUUUAGAUUGAAAGGAGCAUAAGAAUCUUGGGAAACGAACAAUUCCUUCAAACAGAUGAAAAAUGCUGCUAGAUCAGCUGGAUCCAGUUGCAACUGAGAUCGGAUCUCAGAUAAAGUUCUUCAAUAAAAUGAGGCAAAUACGCUGACAAGCAUUUGAGCGAUUAACGAUGUGUUGUCACAAUUCACCUCUUAGGGCUCCUUGGGUACUGAGUCCCAAGAUUCCAGUAUGUUCCGCAACCCCAACCUGUACAUUGGGUACAGAAGACUGACACCGAGUUCCUUCUUUAGUCGAGCAUUCGACACACGCUUCUCACAUCCUGAAAGACUCUUAUGGGGUUUCAUAUCAUUGUUAUCCAACUUGCACACUGUUCCUGCCCAUCUUUCCUCAAGUAGACUCUGAGCAAAAGCAAAUACUUCUUGUCGCGGUGCUGGAUCAUCAUCUACGACAUUAUAUAUUCUCCUGAAGCAAAUAUUGAUGUUGCUAUUAGACACUGCACAACAUGUUCAAAUCAAGCAACGUGAGCAUAUCUCAUCCAAAAUCAAGUGAAAAGUUUAUCCAAUAAAAAAAGGUACAUGAAGGACAUUUUGAUUAAUUCUUCCCGAACGAAAUCCAGAUAUGUAAAAAACUAAAGUAGUAUUUGAUGUGCCACAUGAAUAGAAUGUGCUGAAUCAAGCUAUAGAUGCAUUUUAAUACAUGUUCUUAGUCUUUAAAAAGUUUGCUAUAUAGCAAAUAAAGAAUGAAGACAAGAACAUAAUCAAAAUGCUUCACCUAUGUCCGUGGCUUAAAUAGCCGUCCAAGUAGUUGGAUUACUAGUUUUCCCACAGACAAGGGCUUGAUCUCCAAGUAAAUCAUAUUGCAUGCAUGUAUUACAUGCCUAAGUGGGGGACAAAUGUUACAUUCUUAGAGUCUAAGAGGCACAUGAAAACACCGCUUGGAUGUCAUGAUGCCACAUAAAUAGCAUAUUCCAAGAUGAAGGACUAAGUUAUCUGGGCUCUCAACUGUAAAUUCUUUUUCCUAUUUUAUAACCUCUCCAUGCUUCAAUUCCUGGUCAGUCUGUUUAUAAUAGGUUAUUCCCUAGAUAAGGCAAUCAAAUUCACAAGAGAAAGAAAGGGGGGUAAAUAAAAGAACUGUGAAAAAUCAAUGGAAGUUACUUCUGUAUCAGUCCCUCCCCAUAACAAUGAAUGCCAUAAUCAACGAUGAGAUUGGAAACUGACAAGAUAAAGUAAUAGUUUUAUGAAUUAUUUGCAUAGAUAGAAAAAGAAAAACAAAAUCCAGGCUGUUCACAUAGAAGCACCAAAAUAUCCAAAGACAUGCUCCAAUAUAAUUGAAAGAGGAAAAAAAAAAAGUUUAUCAAGUUGAAAAGUGGUACACACCCUGAAGAGAGAAUUUCUAUACUGGCCUUUAUUGCUUGGUAUAUGUCAGCAACAUGAACUCUUGCUGUAAAGAGCCUAGAUUCCCUCUUCUUCUGUCCUUCUGACAAACUUUGUCCUUUAAUGAUGGUGUCCAAAGCACUGGAAUAAUCAUGAUUAGUGAUAAUAUCAUGGAACUAGAGUCCAAAAAUAAAUAAAUAAUUAUACAAAAAAGAGAAUAUCUGACUAUGCUAGGCAUCCUGCAAGGAAACCACAUCUCGGAAUAAUUAACAUAAAACGACCCAUGAAUACUUCAACCUGAGAGUCAAAUUUCAAGUUCACCUAAAAGCCCUUGAAGUCUCUCACCUAUGCUGAUAGAUGUAACAAGUGCAGAAUUACACAAACUGAACGCAAACCUUCUUCCAGGGCCAUAUAUCCCUCCUAAUCGAAACACAUUAACAGUCACCCCAAGCUCAUGGCCCAGAUCCAGCCAUCCUUUCUCUGCUGCAAGCCUUGACUUAGCAGACUCUGUUUCAGGAUCUGGAGGGUAGCUGCAUUCAAAAAUAACUUAUUUAAGAUAGUCUUUUGAACCUAAUUUUCUAAAAGCAAGCAAAAACAUCAAUAAAAAAUAGCUGCUCACUCUUCGUCAACCCAGGCACCUCCACAAUCUCCAUAAACACCUGCAACAACACACGAAUUAACUACAUACUGACAAAAGCUUGCUUGAUGAUAGCAUAGCGAAUUUUCAUCCAUAUAAACAGAGAAAGGGCAAGUUACAUUAAGUUCCAAAGGACGAUCCCAUGGAGAUGAAUGAUGUUGAUGACCCUACGUUGAAAUAUACUUGAUUGACAUCAUUUAACCUGUUUACAUACUGAAUUGUACCCUAGAUUUUCAUUAAGUCCUUAUUGAACACUCAUGAUUAUAUGUUUGGAACAGUCGGAUGCAUCAUUUUGUCCAGCUCCUCUGCAGGAUUUUAUGUUCAAGAAGACAGAUCAUUUCAAAGCAUAAAAACCAGCUAGACAAAGUUUCCUUGUUAACUACCUGGGACUUGUUCUUAGCAAUAGACUGGUGCUAACCAGUGUCAUAUAUAUCACCAUAUAAUAUAGUGAUGUUUUACUUCAGGAUGAAAUGAAAUAAAAGGCCAAUAAGAAAUUUCAUGCAAAAUGCAGUCUUGAAGAUUUGGACUGAAAGAACGAGUGAUCUGUGAUUCUGCACGUAACAAUAAGUAGACAAGUCUGGUGGUUAAAAAAAAAGCAAGAAAUAUUAUCUUGCAUCAAGGGUCCAUCAGAACUGUCAUUUCCUGUAAAACUUGGAAGAAUCUUUAAGAAUUAUCUGUUUCCUGACAUCAUAAAGGAUGCCAAAUGGUUGGAAGGUGCUGGCUGCUGCUGCUUAGAACUAAAUAUGGGCACAUGUAAAACACCUAUACUUUCAGCAAUUUAUCCUGACAUGCUGAGACCUGAAAAGCAUCUUAUCGAAAGACAUUUAGUAUUGCAUCAAGUAACUUAUUUACCAUCAUAUGCUAUGAAAGGUAAUAAAUCAGCACAUGAUAAUUCCCCACUGCAUGUUUCAAGAAGGAUCAGAGACAGCAACCCCUUGACCCUGUAGUUCAGAGCCAUGCCAUUCAAGUCAUAGUCACUACUUGCGCUCAUAUUUGACCAAUCAAAGCAACUCAAAUUAUUAAUUUUUUUUUACUACGUUUCUCUAAGUAGAUUUUUUUUUUAAGGAUAUUUUUUUUCCCAAAAGAAAUAUAUUUUAAAAAAUUCUUUAUUUUUCCAAAAGAUAAAAAAAGUUUGUUAAAUUCACUGAACUAGCCCUUUCAAGCUUAUAUGUGUACCCCGAUCUUCUACAAAGUAAGUGGUCUGAUACCAACUAAACAAUCGGGAUAAGCUUUUUUGCUUUUUGUUUUCUUUUUCUUUUUAAUUUGAUCAGCAAAAUUCUACGAUCAAUCCCUAGUCCUUACUGCAAUGCGGAUUAGCAAGACAAAUAAAUACUUUGUUUCCCAUAUGUGAUGCAUAUAUCAUCCUCUCUAAUAACAUAUUCAAAUUAUAUUUGACACCCACCAAAUAUUUUGAAGAUAAUUACCUUAGGUUGCUUAAACAGCACAAACUGGACAGACUCUUCUGAAUUCUAUUAUAUAUAAGGUAUCCGGUGUAUAGAGGCGAUAAGGAAGGUCCGAAAGCCUUCUCGUGCUGACAGCAUUCCACUAUCAAACUAGAGUUGUGCAUAUAUGGCAGAUACUUGCUUAACCAAUGUAUUCCAGCCAUGGCAUAGAAAUCUACAGUAUAUUUAUGAUCUUUCUUUCAUGUGGUAGAAUUAAACCAUGAUAGAAAAAAAAAAAGUCACUUAACAACAAUCAUAAAUCAUACUGAAUAUGAAAAAGAGCUUUAAAAAUAUCAAAUCCAAAAAAAGAACAUUAAGUUAUAAAUAAAAAAACAUACUUGUUGACGACAAGUACCCUAGCCACUGCAAAUUUCCAUCUCCUAUUGCAGCUUGCAAUUCCCCGUGAAGACACAACAACUGCAUUUAAAAUUAUAGACAUAUAUGCCUAGCUGGUAACCACUGAAAUGUUAAAAUUAGAAAACAACAUAGUCGGCGGUGGGUACCAAAAAACAGAUAUCAACAAGAUGAUGAUCAACUUACAGGAUCACCAAUGCCUACAAUAGGAGGAAUAGAGACCAGGAGAUGGGUUGCACGUUGCAAGGUGUGGAGACUUCUCAGCCUAUAUUGUCAGAUACAGAGCAAAUGGACGUCAAGAACGUGGAAAAAAUAAACAAGCUAGAUAUUUCUGCAGCAAUUUUAAAGUGAAAAGGAUAUCAUCUGAUCUUAGCAAUCAUGGUAACGUGGUUAACAAAGAACAUGCAACAUACAACAAUCUAUUGAAUGUGAAUCCAUAAACACACAUAUAUAAUCGGUCAGCCUGCUAAUUCAAAUAGACUAUCUACACAUAUAUAAUUGGUCGGCCUGCUAAUUCAAGUAGACUAUAUUUGCAUAAAUUGCAUUGUCAUUCUAUUUGAGGGAAAGAAAUCUUUUCCCAAAGCUUAACUGCUCUGUUUGAAAUAACCAGAACCUAACAAUCAACAAAUUCACUCAAAUUGAAAAUUAAAAAUAAGAUAAAUAAAAUGAGAACCAAGCAAAAUAGAAAAAUAGAGAAAAAGAAUGGACGGGGGUUAUAAGUGUUAGAAAGAAUAGAAGACAAGAAGAAUUAUUGAAGAAGCUUUAUUGAAAAAGCUUGAAUGCAUUAACAUGUUCCUCUCCUAUUUAUACAGAUUAUGUGGAAAGAUUUCCCUCAACAGAAUAGAGGAUUUCUCUCAACGGAACAGAGAGAUUUCCUCGUAUAGUUAGGUAGAAACUUGGUCGGUGCAGGCAACGCCGGUGAAGAAGAAGGCCGUAUGGAGGAGAAGAGGGAAGGAGCGGACAGGGGUUAGAGAGGCAAGAGAUGUGAUGAAUGGCAAGCUUCGAUAGCCGUGGAGCCUCGCUCAUCUCACCUGCUCUGAUACCAAUAGAAGACAAGAAGAAUUAUUGAAGAAACUUUAUUGAAGAAGCUUUAUUGAAGAAGCUUGAAUGUAUUAAUAUGUUCCUCUCCUCAUGUAAUUUGGAAAAUCUUAACUGCUAUCAAUAAGAACAGCAUCCAUUAAUAAUUUCCGGAGAGAUAUCCCAAUGCUUCAAUCGAUCUAGCAAGAUUUACAAAUUCAUGCUAAUAAUCUUGAUCAAACACCCUUUUCUUUGUUGAAUAGACCAGCAAAAGAGUAAACUGAGCACCAUUAUGAUUGUGCUGAAAUUGUUUCAACGUGACAAAACACGUACUGGUCGCUAACCGCAUCAAAAACAAAGGCCUCCAUUCCAAUCUUCUCGAGCUCUGUCUUCAUGGGAGCACUGGUGCAGGUGCCGGAGACAUGCCUGAAAUGAUCCAUCUGUGUCUCGUCAAAUUACAUAAGGAAAACACCCUAUCAAACAAAAGAACCAACUUGGUUGCUCGCGGCUACAAAUUUCACAUCGAAAGAAGGAUAGGCGAGGCUAAAGGAUAAAAAAUAGCACUCCGAUUCGAAGAUCUAAAUAUGGGGAAGGCACUACCCCAAGGAGACAAACCCCAGCGGCCGCAGCUGAGCCCAACAAUCGGAAGCAACAAAUAGAAAAAUCUAGACUUGAGAGAUGAAAAAGAUACGAUUCACAAGAAAGGAAAUCGAUCAAAUCAUACCAGCCUUGACUUAUGAAUCGAUCGGACACGAAUCGGCCGACGAAUCCUGUUCCAAAGACGAACAAUCGAUUGCCUCCCCCACCAGAUUCGGACCUCGCCACCGCCACGGUCAUCGGCGCGGAUAACUGGCGGUGCGACCUUUCCGGAGGAGAACGCACGACCACUGUCCCCGCCCGAGAAAGUCGGCAAGAGGCCCCAAAAAUCGCCGCCUCCAUCCCGGUCCCGGAAACUCUUCGCCGAACUUACCUCAGUCGUCUGUUGCCUCCCUUAGGGCUCCUUAUUCUUUUGAAAAAUGAAAAACACUAUAUUAUUCCAUCGGAACAGUUAUUACAUCACACCAAAAAAAGUCAACCCGUUAGAUCGAGUUUACAUCGGCAAAUCUCCGACGCAUGAGUUUGCCAUUUUUCGGGAUGUAAGUCCAACGAUAAUAUAUAUAUAUAUAUAUAAUUAAUUAUGUCAAAAAUGUCUGAACCUCGACGCAACAUAGAGCAUCCUUUCCAUCUUUCAGUAACAUUUAAAUGAUGAUUUUGAGGGUCUUGUCGAUUUAUGAAGAUUGGUACCCUCAAAUAGUCGAUAAUCGAUGUUUCAUUCGUCGAAGAAUCAACAUCACAAAGAUAAAAAUGCGAAUUGAUGAGUCAGCAUCAAGAUUACAAGCAGGACAUGAAGAACGAACUUGGCCAGUGCACAGCUUCUUUGAUCUGCAAAAUAAGUGCAGAGUGGUACUCCGAGGAUGACAUGGGAAAUUGGCCAUCGAGUCAUCAUCACCAAACCGUCCCAUCAAGAAGUGAGAUCUCAUUUUCCGUGGAGGAUUCUGAGCACAUGCUUAGCCCAAUCUUUUCGUCGGACUCUUCCAAAGAUGCUGCAGAUCUAAGGAGCUGCCGACCGAUGGAGAUGAGGUGGGCUCGAUCAGCAGCUGAUUCAUUGGGGUAAGGGUCAAUCUUUGACAGUUCAUGUCAAUAAUAGAAUCUUUCGGUGUGAUCUUCAAUGUUUAUCUAGGCUGCUAUUAUUAGAAACCAAGUACGUAAUAGGAACCACAUCAGUUGAUCGAUCUGAUUACGAACUAUUCAAGCGAACUAAUCCAGAGACAGUCGUCGCCUGCUACAAGACGAAACGCCAUGCGGAACUAUAAUAGAUCAUGAAUCCGCUCCCUACCGCCAUCGAAUCUGUGGGUUGGGUUUGAGAUCGUUUCUGUGGUGUUCCCCAUGGCAAAGAUUUUUAGAACGACUGUUAGGUAAAGUUGCAUGAUGAUUGUCAAAGUAUCUUUCUCCUUCUUUUAGCUUGCAAAUGGACCAUGCACUUCAUGUUGUUCCAAGCCAAGCUCAGAUGUAGUGCCGAUAGACCAACAAGCUAACGCCACUGAUAUCGAACAGUGCCGGUCAUUUUACUUUGUAUACCAUCCUGCGGUUGAAAUCCUCGCCGGAUACGAACUACUUUUCCCCACCUCGAGAAGAUAGGGCGGGAAAGGAAGAGAGAGAGAGAGAGAGAGAGAGGGGGGGGGGGAAAGAAAACCUUAUCAUAGGGUUCUUAACAUCCUUGCCAUGGCCUCUUCAGUCACAUCCGACGCACGUACUUGUGAACUGUUGAAAGCUUCUGUGCCGCAGCUUUCUGUCCCAUCCUCCAAAAUUCCAAACUGGUGGGGGACUGCUCCCACUUCACUACCACCCCUACUUUUUGAAACCCUCAUCCAUGGCUGCUGUUCUGUUAAGCAACUAAAACUCCCAGCAGUCGUCAACUUCGUGAAUCCACAAAGCUCGUUUGACCUUGAACACAACUUUGGACUUUGUAGGAUAAUUACUACCAGAGUUUCUUCUUCUUCUUCUUCUUCUUCUUCUUUUCUUCUAAUUCAUCUAAUGAGAUCUUAUUUUUAUGUUUAUCGUUUUUGCCUCACGAGCUACCUGCCCAAUCGAACAUGUCCAUGGUGUCAGAGGCCUUGUGCCCCCUCUCCUCGUCUGGUUUUGCGUCCAUGUAUCCUUUGGAGAAGAUGAGGCUCAUCGGGUCAGUCUCCAGCUCCGCCAAGUCCGCGAAGAAGUCGUCGGGCUGGUCCGCUUCCGGGAUCAUCGGCUUGUAGCUUCGGUGCAUAUUCUGGUUGAAGUCGUCGUCUUCAGUUGGCUUAUCCAUCUCUUCUUCUUCUUGUUCCUGUUCUAGAUCUAGAUGAGCGUUCGAGGUUGUUGCCUCCCUCCGCUCUUCCUUGGGAGCCGUGGGCGACUUCAGAACAUCGUCGCCGGGGAUCUUUAAGGCGUUCUUGAAUGGAUGAGAUCUCGUGGAUCCUGCAAGGGCAUUGCGUUGCGUAGGCCACGGAUGGUUGUGCUCCGACGUGUAUGUGAUGACCAACAUAUUAGGAUCGGUUCGGCUGCGCUCCACUUGCUUCCUCGCCGAGCAUCCCUUGGAACUGCUACAUCUGUAAUAGCCCCUGAUGUCCAUGAAAUCUCCAUCAGCUUUUGGAAACCAAACAUACAGGAAAAUCUUGAGCCGAGAAAGAAGCCAUGGCACGGAUGAUUGCAAGAAGAGAAUGUACCAUGAACGAAAACACGACCUUUUCUUUUCCCGGGAGACAAAAAAGCUUGUUCGAUAUGAUCCAAACAAACAAUAGAAAAUAAGAAAACAGAGGAGGCGGCAUAAAAUUUCACUCACACAAGCUGGAAAUAGAGAUAAAGAAGAAAAAUCUACACUCGAUGUGCCCUGACAAGUCAAACGAUGCUCACAGUUAAAGCUAACAAGGAUGUCAAGAGUUGAAAUUAUCAUUUAAUGUAGGUCCAGAUCUUGAAGAAGCAAUAUGACCUUCUAAUAUUGAUCACCACUAUUUUAUUAGGUUUACGCAUCAUCCAUGAAAGGAGUGAUAGAGGCACGCACUUCAUGUUCCUCAUGCGAAAUUGUGAGAGCAAGACCAAAGAAAAACUGAUACACAAGGAGUGGUUCCUUGUUCUCUUCUUUUUUAUUAUAUGAUUUGAUCUUUGCAUUGGCAACUGAUGUGCAUCCACUAAUCAAGAAAAGAAAGGAAGAAGAGAAAAGUAGAUAUGAUUCCCUGAAGACGAGGAAUCGGAAAACUGAUGAUGGGGGAAAUUUACCUUGGAUACGGAGAACCCUUGAUCGGCUUCUGGCCAUACUUCCUCCAAGCCCAUAGAUCAGAUGGAACAACCUCACCGGUCGGUCUGCUGGUGGCCGCCGCUGGAGCCGGUAUGCAUACCACCUUCUUUGCCUGGCUUUUUCUGUGUCAAAAGUCCACUUAGAACUUUGAGAUAUUUCAACCCCAUAGAUAGGCAAAAAAAAAUUACUGAGAGAGAAGAAGAACAAAAGAAUUCCAAAAAUUCUAGAAGUCUUGGUUGAUUCAAGCGGAGGCUUGUGGUUGCUACUACCAAUCAUAAACUCGGUUCUGGGAGUCCGUGGGUCUGUCUUUUUUAGCUCUUUUUAGCUAAGGCCUGUACUAGUCGACGAACCAAUUCUAUGGCUGCCUGGUUUCACCAAGGAGCAAAAGAUGCUUCCACUUUUGAUGGCUCGAAUCCUUAAAGAGUUCCAUCAGUUCUUCCUGAUGCAUUCCCAUCAAAAGCAACUGCCUUCUACUGGACACUUAACUUCCGCCUAGAUUCAGUAUCAUUAAAACUAUUCUAGCUAGAUCGUCUCGAUGGAUCGUCCCAAGACAACUCACAGUAGGAAAAGCUCAGGGGGGAAACUAGAAAAAGGAAUCUCUUUAGAUGCUAGGAAGACUAGGGAUUUUUCACAAGAUGAUCGAGAUAAUCUAAUAGAUUAGGUACUAAGAUUCUUUCGACAAAUGAUCCGUCGAUCUCGAACCUUCGUUUGACCCCUGGAGUCUGAGGGCACAAGAUCUGCACUCCACCACCAUGAUCCACCGGUCCGGCUGCGGAGCUGCUGCUCACAUUCAUCAGCUUCAUCAUCAUCAUCUCCCUGGCCACUGCAGGCGACGGCUUCAUCAGCCUCGGUGAGAGCGGGAAAGGCCUGCGGCUACCACCGGGCGAGAUCUGAAGAACCCUCGAGAAGUUAUUACAAGGCCUGUCGUUCUCCUGCUCGCCUGAUUGUAACUCGGGAGAUACGAGAGGCCUCCUUCCCCCGCCAUGGACGCUGCUGCUAUCUGUGUCGGUCUUGGCCGGUGCCACCAUCGCUUCCGCGCCAUAGAAGAACUCCACGCCUGUGUACUGAUCCGGCAGAGGGUCACGGAGGUUAAGGAGAUACUCACCCGAGUUGUUGGUAGGGGCUUCGGUUCUCUCAGGAAAGACCACAGGCUGUGAAGGAAGGUGACACCGAGAGACCACAGGAUCAAAGUUGGCGUGUGGUGGUCCGCUACGGCUGCCUGCAGCUCGGACUAUGUCGGCGAGGUCCCCUCGGUCAUUCUCCAUCCUUUGCGAGAAAUAGUCACACACAUCCCUUGCUCGUUAGCAGCAGACACAUCUGGAUAGAGGAAAUCAGAGGUACUUGGGCCUGAUGGUGUUGCACCAGCUGCCUGGUCUCGUCUUCUUGCUUCUGCCGAAGCAUGGGAGAGAGAUCAGUGGGGAGGAGGACUAAAAAACGAGCCUUCACCAAGAGAAAGAGAAAGAAACUGAAGGCUCUUCUUUAAACUUAAGAAAAGGCGUAGGAGACAAUGAGAGGGAGACGGAGAGAUAAUCAUAUUUAUUAUAUGCAGAAGAAGCUGACUUUUUCAUGGCAAGGGCUUCUCUGCACGCAACAAGAGAGCCACAGAGAGAGAGAGAGAGAGAGAGAGAGGAGGGGGGGUGGGGGGGAGAAUAUAUUGGAAGAAGAUGGUGGGUUAAUCAUGCUUCUGAUUUUGGGUUCUUAAAAUCUAUUCAAUGGGUGGAUUUUGAUUUUGAUUUUGAUUUUGAUUUUCUUGGGAGGAGGGAGUGUUGAUGCAGGACGAGUAGCAGCUGUGAAUUUCUUAUGAUGAUAGAUAAAUCAAAAGAAAAAAAAUACAAUAAAUAAAAUAUAAUAUAUUUGGGUUGAUGUUGAAAGCAAUUCAAUUCAUUGAUUCAUCUUAUUAUUUAUAGAAUAAAAAUAAAAAUUAAAUAUAUUGUAAUUAUAUCAAAUAAAAUAUAUAAUAUGUUUUAAUAAUUCUGAUUCAAUUUGAAAAAUAAUAUUUAUAUUCUUGAUCGAUUGAGAUUGAUUGAAGAAUUUAUUAUUAUAUAUAUAUAUAUAUAUAAUAUUUGUAAACGAUAACAAAAAUUAUUAUUUACAGAGACCUGCACUGUUUAUAUUUAAUAUUUAUAUUCUCCACCAGUAAGCUUAUGUUUUGUUUUAUGACAGAGACCUGCACUGUUGAACCAAUUAAUGAGGUGGAAAGGGAGAGGUGGCAAGCAGCCGCAGUUUCCGGCUUUGAUAAGCUCCCCUCUCGUCAUGUUUCUGACACUGCCUCUGCCAUGAGAUCUUGCUGCGAUGGCCAGUUAAAGACUCCUAAAGCUCCCUCGCUGCAUGCAGUCACUUCUCGUAGUCAUGGUUAAUUAUUGACGCAAAGCAACCGAGGCUCGUUUUCUGGAUGUGAAAGAAGACCUUUGAUGAAUUCCAAAGCUACAGUGCAAAUCCUCUUCAUCGUUUGACCCUCCAAAAAAUAAUAAUAAUAAUUGGAUGAUCUCUUUGCUCGAAAACCUUUGCCUGGGGAAGAACUCAUUUGACGCUGAAACUCUAACAUCACACGUGCAAGUCGGACAAAGAAUGAGUAAGAUCGACAUGCAGUAGAAAACAUAUCUUAACCAAACAAAUAAUGAACUCACAUAAUACAUUAUUAUCUUAAAUGAUUCAACGAUCGAAGAAGAGGAGGCAACCAGAGAGGAGAAAAGCUCGAACAACUUCUUUUGUACUAUUUAACAUGGAUUGUUAGGCAUUAUAGUUUAGAGAAUGAUUCGUUUGCAAGUGUGUGUUUUGUUAAAACGAUGUCUACUUCAGAUGAUUAUGAGAAGAGAAUUUGACCUUCGAGAAACCUCCUCGGGUGUGGCUUUCCAUGUCGGAACUGUCACACAGUAAGAUCCUUUGUCCUAUUCGACAUUGGUAGGGUUUCGGUGGGAUUGGUAAAGUAGCAAGCCCAAGCCGGUACUGUUUCAUGAUCCACAUAUCCUAAAGUCUAAUAGUGCAGAUUCUAAUCAUGCACAGACUUUUAUUCUCGACUCUAACAUAUGCUAUCAAGAAAGUUAUUAUUAGAUACAAAAUGACAAAUUGAGAUCAAUGUUAAGAGUUUCCAAAUCUAAUCAUUUUCUAUUAUUUCAACUUUGAUUUUAAAUUUAGAAUAGUAGUUUUUAAUUAUAAAAUAAUUUUUUUAAAAAAAUAUGAAUAGUUGAUUCGAAUCCCUCAAUUUUGGUUCCCAAAAAAAUAAAAAUCAUAAUCAAAUCGAGAUCUGAUUUUUUAUUUGAUUUAAAAUGAAUAAAGAUUCGAUUUUGAUUUAGUUUCGAUUGGAUUAGAACUGUGAUGAAGACUAAUGGUAAGACAUACUCAAGAAGGAGCCAAGGAGAAUCUACUUGUACAUUUCAUUUAAUGAUGAAACCCUUAUGCCAACUCAUGCCAUUAAUGCUCAAAAGCAUAUAUAGAGCCCACGUUGUUGCACGAAUUGAAUACUCUCACUGGGAUUCGCUGGAAUCAUCAGAGGCAUCUCACCAUGUGAUCCGAAACCUUAUUCAAUUAACCUAUUACAUUAAUGCUUAUCCGAGGAGCCAUACGCCUACGUGUGUAUUCUAUGAGUCAUAGACGUAUAUAUCAAUAUUAAUAUAUGACGACAUACAUUGGAAGCUUAAACUACACUGAGAUGACCUAGAAUGGCUCGACCCUUAACCGUGAACGUUGAUCGACACAUAUAUUGAGAUUUGAUUCAUAGUUAUCUAUCUAUAUAGUUAUCAUGAUCUAGUAGUUAUAGGAUAGUUUCAAUAACUACCUCAAUCUAGUAGUUAUUUGGUAUCUUGUAAGUGUUCUUAUCAAUCCUCCUGUUUUUUUAAAUACUACAUCAGUUUUCUUGAAUUGAAAGGAUUCCUUUACUUGCAUUAGUAUUCCUUAAAGGAUUCCUUUUAUAUGUCAAUCCUUCAUCCUCAACAUUUGUGGUAUCAAAGCAUAGUAUGAUCUUCUCAAGAAUUAAAGUAGCAACAACCUCAAAGCAAGCUUGGUUAAUACUUCAAAAUGAAUUUCAAGGAAAUUGUUAGUCAAAUGAAAUCUUAGGGUGAACAUCUUCCUGAUCAUAUAAUUAUUGUAAAAGUUUUGAGAAGUUUAACUCCGAAAUUUAAUCAUGUUGUUGCCGCAAUUGAGGAGUCAAAAGAUUUAUCUUCUUAUUCAUGUUGUCACAUGAAGACAGAUUACUCGAAAAGAGAAAAUCAAGCAAACUAUGUUGAGAAAAAUGAAGAAAAUAGUAAAUUAUUUAUGACUCAUUCACAAGUUCAUAAUAUCUCAAAUGAUAUUUGGUUUCUGGAUAGUAGAUGCUGAUGAAAGAAAGUUAGACUUGGAGAUAGCAAGCAAAUCCAAGUGGAAGGGAAAGGAAUAAUUGAGAUGAAAAUAAAUCAAGAGAAGGUAAAAUACGUUGAUAAUGUUUUCUUUGUUCCACUUUAUCAUAUAACUUAUUGAGUAUUGGACAAUUGAUAGAUGAUGGAUAUUCGGUAAUAUUUGAUGAUAGUUCAUGCACUAUUAGAGAUAAAAAAAUCUGGUUUGAUUAUAGCAAAUAUUUGCAUGACACAAAACAAGAUGUUUUCACUUGAUGUGUCAAAUAUUGAAAGACAUGCACUUAUCACAACUCAAAAGAAUGAGUCUAGUUUAUGACAUUUAAGAUAUGAACACCUUAACAUUAAGGGUUUAAGGUUGUUAAGUUAAAAAUGAAUGAUUUUUGGAUUGCCUAAGAUUAAUACACUUGAUGUAUGUGAAUGAUGCAUUUAUGGCAAACAAAGUAAAAAACCAUUUCCUAUUGGAAAAGUAUGGAGAGCAUCCAAUUGUUUUGAAUUAAUUCAUGCUGACUUAUGUGGACCUAUGAAUACAAAAUCAUUUGGUAGAAGUUAAUAUUUUUUAUUAUUUAUGGAUGAUUAUAGUCGCAUGAGUUGGGUAUAUUUUCUAAAACUGAAAUCUGAAACAUUUGAUAAUUUUCGAAAGUUUAAAGCACUUGUAGAAAGGCAAAGUGGUAGAUAUAUAAAGAUACUUUGAACAUAUAGAGAUGGUGAAUUUUUAUCUAAUGAGUUAGUUUUUUUUUGUGAAGAAAAUGGUAUUCAUAGAAAAUUGACAGCACCAUAUACAUCGGAGCAAAAUGGUGUAGCUGAACGUAAGAAUUGGACUGUCAUUGAAAUGGCAAGAAGUUUGCUUAAAGGAAAAUAUCUUCCAAAACAGUUUUGAAAAUCAGAAAAAUAUAUUUUAAUUGGUUAUUCUUUAUAAUCGAAAGCAUAUCGAUUAUAUAACCUUGUUAGUGGCAAUCUGCAGAAUCAAGUAAUAGAUCUUGCUCCAACAAGUUCAUCGUCAACCUCAUCCAAUAGUAGUUCAAAUUCGAAUUCCUUGAAACCUCUCUAAGAAAUUUCAGAUCAUUAACAUAAAUUUAUAACUCAACAUUUGCUUUGUUUAUUUCAGAUCCAACAACCUUUGAGGAAGCAGUUAAAAAAAAGGAAAGAAUGAAACUUGGGAGCUAAUGGAUCUACCGAAAGAAAAGAAACCUAUUGGAUUAAAAUAGGUAUUCAAAACAAAGUUUAAAUGCAAAUUAUUUGGUUUCACUGAUAGUGAUUGGGCAGGAGCGAUGAUCGAAAAAGUACUUCAAACAAAUGGAGCCAUAAUAAUAAAGCAUCAUGGAACAGAUGAAAAGUUACAGAUAUCUUCACCAAAUCGUUUCCAGUUUGAAAGUAUAUUUAUUUUAUGUCGCAAAUUGGUGUAUGCAAAAUCAGGGGGAGUGUUGAGAUUUGAUUCAUAGUUAUCUAUCUAGAUAGUUAUCAUGAUCUAGUGGUUACAUGAUGAUUUUAAUAACCACCUCAAUCUUCGUGUAGUUUCGGAAGAAUGGCACGUCUCAUCAUAACAUCAGCAGUACAAAUACGUAGAAGCGGUACAAAGUAAGAUGAGGAUCUUAAUGUGAUUCCCAUACCAAAAAGUCUUGGAAUUCAGAUAUCCCAUUUUGCUCAACAUUGAUGGCAACCAUGCAUUGUGUUUCUACUCCUAACUUUUGCGAGAGAAGGAACAUGACGACAAUAGUUCAGAAAUGUUCACUCAACUUUGGUUGCUUUAGCAGCAGCAGAAGCUGCCGUCUCACCAACAAUCUGCUCGUAAAGAUCUCUUAUAUUCAACCCAGCGAUCGCCCGGAAGAGGCCAGUUCUGCAUGCCUCACCAUCGGUCGUGACACCUCCCCAUAGAACUUGGUGGACAGGUUGCUUGGAUGCCUCUCCACAUAUAUCAGCUCGUCCAAUCUAUCGAAUUCCCCAUCCGUCUCCGACACUGAUACCUAGCAAACAACGUUCACACGAAACAAAAAGUCAAGCAGUUUUCCAGCGAUUGCAGAUCGAAGACCCGGUGAUCAUCAUCACCUCAAUGGAGUAGCAAGUGUCCGGGCGAUAAAAGAACUCGAUGCCAGGGUACGAGCAUGCCAGCUUCCUUCCGCAUGGUAUCCACGAAAUGGUGGAUUCUUCGUCGAACAGGGAAACUGGACUGAAGUACUUCAACCCUUCCUUCAUGAUCAAUCUGACGCACAAAAAUUUACCUUCACUGUCAUCAGCAAUCAAUUGCGUCGGCAGAACUUGGAUGGCAGCACCAGCAUGUUGCUUCUGCGGAUCUGCCGACCGCAAUAAACAUGGCAUGAACUAAAAUUUUCCUUUGCUGAUUCCUGUAUAUUUUCUACUGCAAAAUUAAGUACCAAUGCAAGCAUCAGAGUCGGGCUUUCGAGCUGCAAUGCUAGCUUCGAUGCUCUCGAGGCUGUGCCCACCUUCCGCCAUAUCUCUCUGCGAUCCACAAGUAAAUGGAAAUGGAAUCAGAGGGCAAUGUACUGACAUUUACUGCAUUACGGAAUUAGGUGAGUUAUAGUCACUGACCUGGAUUUUCCAUGCAAACUUGACCUUACUGUUAAUAUCCAAGUAGAUGCUGAAGUCCAAGAGGCCCCUCGCACGGGGAUCAUACAUACCUAAGGGACGGUCAACCAAUUCUCAUCAGAUCGUUUGCUAUGUUACGGAGGUAGAAUAUGAAUCCUAGACUUGGUAUGUUGCUCAUGACCAAAACUGUUUGCUUACAAUGAAGAGAAUCAUCAAAAUGAACCAAGCGCUCUCCUUUCUAACAAUGUCUCCAAAGGAAAUACAAUGGAAGCUCACAAUGGGUGCAGUCCCUCUAAGACCAGGAGCUUGGGUGGUUGGCUUAGCUCGGGGGGUUCCGGCAAACCAGUAAGAUGGUUGUAGAUGGGCUUCUCCAUGGCCACUCCUUCAUCGAGAGCCUUCACUUGCUGAUACAUGAGGUCGAAGUUGUUGUCCCUUGGGUCCAAUGCCGUGACUCCCUCUGCUUCCUUCCACUUCUAUCCAACGAGUGGUAGUCAUCCAGACAUAUGACGGUGGUGGUGUCACCGGUCAGCGCUGCUGCACCUGCAGAGGUUGCCAUUUCUUCUUUCCUCCAAGCUUUUGAAAGAGAACACCAGGGAGGAAGCAUAAAGAUGAAGCGAAGAUGCGGUUCCAGUCUUCCCUUUUUUUCGAUGAUUUCAAGGGGCAGCCUUGGAUUCCUUCUAAUGUUUAUUAUUUGUGACAACAUUUCAAGAAAAAUGCAUCGCCUGAGGUUCUUUGAUCUGAUGAAACUUCUCAUGUGUCUCUCGUUUUGGAACUUGGCCGAUGGCCAUAGUUCUGCACAGAAACGAGGCAAACUUGUAGCUUCGAUCGGGUUUCCAACAAUGUUUUGCGGGUUGUCUUGUAGCUUCAUUCGGCUAAACAAGGGAAAGUACGUUUAGCCUAUAACUCACUGUGUCAAUGCUACGUGCGUGCAUGCAGUCCGUUCUUUGGUCACUAUAUGAUGAUUUUGAUGGUUACCUUAAUGCACGUAAUAUUUCCAUAAAGUUACCUCCCGAAAUUGUACCGCCUAUCCAUACUUGCAUCUCCUUGGCUUCUUUUUCUUGCCGUGUCAGUAGUGUGCCUGUCAAGGGUGUACAUGAAAUUAUUUUAUUUUUUGAGGAUAAUAAUAAUAAUAAUAAUAAUAUCUUGCAGAAGUACAUGUUAAGACUAAUAAUGGAGAUGGGUUUGGGUGUAUAGGAAGAAUCGCUUGUGGUGGGGGCAAUUGCCAGGUGGCGCGGAUGACGGUGCGUUAUACGGCAAGAAUACGGUCACAUGUCCCAAUUUAAAAGGCACAGCGGCGGGUCCCAUUCAAGCGUCUCAACAUACGUGUCAGUUCCUUUUUCGCUAAAAGAGUUGUGGUGUGCUGGUUCCCCAACAGCUACUAUUAGCCUCACCUUCCUCUGUUCCCGUACGGCUAGACCCAUUAAGGGUCCAGAUUUAUCUGGAAUGGUAGCGAUGGCGAUAAAUCACGAUCGAUCCCGAAUCUCAAGGCUUACAACACCGCCCUCAUUUUCCUCUCCUGUCCUCGGCAUCUCCGAGGGUUGGAAAAUAAAGCCGGAAAAAAAAGCGGAGAAAAAGAACGAAGCGAUCAGGGUGGAGUUAGGGCUUCGCGAUUUCUUCCGGGGUCGCAUCGAUUUCUCCCUGCGGAAGAGGUCCACCGAUCCAUCAAUGGCAGGGGCGCUACAGUACCUGGAAUCCCAGCAGAACGCGCAGCCCGAGCUGGCGGACUGGUACGGCGCCUUGGCGGAUCUGUACCAACGGAAGCUGUGGCACCAGCUCACCAUCAAGCUCGAGCAGUUCGUUGCCCUGGCCGUAUUCCGGGUAGAUCUCUUCUCCAUUUCCUCGGCCCCUCCUUGUUUGCUGCUAGGGUUUAAAGUCAUCAGUUUGACAAUUGGUCUAGUCUUCUGUUUGGUAUGUCCUGGUUACUGGAUCUUCACAGGAAUUUGCGCUUUUCCUUCUUUUCUCUUUUGACAUGCGUGUUUGGAUCUUUGGCGGAAUCGAUAUUUAGAUGCGUGAAGAUAACAGAUCUUGAAGGUAGAAUUCUUGUUCAGUGUUCCUUCUUCUUUCUGAGCCGGAAGAUACACACAACAGCAAUGAAUCUUACAGAAUAUGGUUCUCUAGGAGCACUGAUGCGCGGAAGAUAAAUUUUUUAAAGUUGAUUGCUUCUUCUACCUUCAUGGGAAAACCUCAAUAAACGAUACCUUUGAGGUGGCAAAGCUACAGCAAAUUUGCUUAGUUAGUUUUGUUCUGUUUUUUUGUGCUUGCCUCUCUGUUCUUCCUUGGAUGGCUCACAGAAACUAUUGGUGCCUCAGAUUAAAUAUCUUUACGUUAGCAGAAUGUUCAAGUUCCAUCAGUGACCUUAUAAUUUGCAAUUCCAGAUAUUUAGUUGAAGAAAUCGUCUACUAAAGUUAUUAUUAGUAUAUACAUAUGAGUGUGUAUACAUAUAUGUGUAUAAACACAUUUAUAAUAUAUUUUUUACAAGAACAACAAUGAAAAAAUCUUGUGCUUUUAUUCUGCAGUUGUUCAAGCGUUAUUUUAGACCUCUAUCUUUUUGGCUAUCAAGCGAAACUCUUUUUGCAUUCUUCUUGAUCCUGCAUAGGUUUGGUCCAGCUAGGUUUCUUAUUGCGCUAAAGUUCCAGUUUUGAAGGUUGAGGCACUUUCUGAUAACAAAAAGAAGGUAGGUAGUUUAGUUACUUUAGUAACAUUUAAAGAAUAAUUUCUGUUAAACAUGCCAGUUUACUCAUGUUUGCACUUUAGAUUUUUCUAGCCAGGAUCCAUACGGCAGUGUUAUGAAGGUAAAACAGAACAGUGAUUCUACUUUGAUAUUAUUUGGAUUCUUGAUUUUGGUUAUCUAGUGAUGUUUUAUUCAUUAAUUGGUUUGCACAAUCACCUAAGAAUAUUGGUGAUCAUUUCAGCUAAAAGAAAUUACUUGACAUAUUUCAUGAUUCUAUUUAUUGACAGCAUUAUAAAGUUUAAUGUGGCAUUAUUUGUGUCAGGUAUAUAAGCAAGAAAGUUUUCUUAGUUUCAUCCUGUUUAAUUCCCUGCAUUUUUCAUGUUAUGAUAAGUUUGUUUGUUAUGAUAAGUUCUCUAUAUUUGUAUCCUCAUUCUCCUUGUUAUGCAUGUUAACUCUUGUGACAUGUAACUGAGAAUGCAUGCUUCUUUUUGAUUCUCACCUUUCUGCUACUCUUUGUAGGCGGGCGACACCCUUAUACAACUGUAUCAUAACUUCAUUACAGACUUUGAGACAAAAAUCAAUCUCUUGAAGCUUGCUCACUUUGCUACAGUAAUUUCACGACAGUAUUCAGAAAAAGAAGCUGCAAUUAGCUAUCUUGAAGGAAUAAUUGAAAAACUGAAUGCUACUAGAGAGUUGCGGAUUGAGGAGCCUAUCCUAUAUGCGAAGAUGCAAAUAGCUGCAUUUUAUCUAGAAAAAGGCAGUCAAAAGGAGUGCAAAAAGCUUCUUGAAGAGGGAGAGAGAACGCUAAGUAGCAUGACUGAUGUUGAUCCUUCUGUUCAUGCUAGUUAUUAUUGGAUUACCUCUCAGUAUCAUAAAUCACGACAAGAAUUUGCAGAGUUCUACAAGAGUGCCCUACUUUAUUUGGCUUAUACUUCAGUAGAAUCUCUUUCAGCUUCAUUCAAGUUGGUAAAUGAUUUACUUAUUACAUAUGUAUAUCAUAUUUGAUGAAGGAUUUGUUUUCAAUCUUGCCAAAUUUUCUAAUAAUCAUUAUUGUUUUUAAUACCAUUACAGUUUGAGGUUUUGAAAUUACAAUCAAGGGUAAUAAUUUGAUCAUGUUGAUGACAUGAUUGGGCUUUGAGAUUUUUGCCUUCUUCUGUUGUUGGAGAUUCAUUGAGGUCUCUUGUCGUAAGUUAUUGUAUCUUAAAAGGAUGUUUGACCUUAUUACUAAUUCGAGAUGAAGUUGGUGAGAAUCUUGAAUACAGAUGCAUAAGUGCUCAGAUACUGAAUGCAAAUUUCCCUUUCCCUUAAAUCUUUUUACAUUGCUUACAAUUCGAUGAUUUACAUUUUUUAACUGAAAAGUCCUUCAUGGAAGGUCCUACUGUACUAGGAUUAUUAUGUGACUUCUAUGCAUGAGAGAUGAUUUGUGACUAUUAUGUCUUCCAGGGCAAGUUUCUGUUUUUUCACACAGUUGCAUUUCAAAGUCUCUUAUGGGUUAUCUGGUAAAAUAUGUUCCAUAUGGGUUGUAUAUAUAGUAGUUCUUUAAUUUUCAUCCUCUAGUUAUUCAUAGUGGUUGGAAGGCAUUGCAGAAACACUUCUAUUAGUCCUUCAGAAUCUCUUCUAAGUUUUGGGUUUUGCUGGUGGUGGCAAAAGAUCUGUGGAGCUGACUCCAAAUAGUUGUGAUUUCACAGCUUUGUUAUCAUUGUUGUUGUACUGUUAAUGUAGUAGUUUCUCUUAUUAUAUUUUGUGGUACUUCAUUCACUCAGUCUGACCUAUAUCUUGUUUCCAGGAUUUGGCCUUUGACCUUUCCCUUUCGGCACUUCUAGGGGAUAACAUAUACAACUUUGGGGAAUUGCUUGCGCAUCCAAUUGUAAGAAAAAGUUCUAGACAAAAUUCUAUGAUAUACUUUCUUUUUCCUGAUAGAACUAAUUACAUUUUGUAUUAUUAAGUCAAAGAAUUGUGAUCUUCAUUUUCUAAUGUGUUGAUGAUUUGUAAAAAUAUCGAUUUGUUGAUAUACCUCUUCUAUCUUGGUGUGUUAUUUAAUUGCUGACAUGCUUCAUCACUCCUUAACUGUUUGUUUCCUUUCUCACAUCUUUUUCUUCCAUAUGUGGACGAUUAUCAUCAUGAUAUGUGUCCACAGAGCAUAAAGUUGGAGCAAUCUGACUGCCAUGUUGGUUAUCUCAUGAUUUUCUUUCUAUCCAAGUUCUACUUUCAUUUAAAUAUAGCAACUCUCGUUACAUAUUGAACUCUCAGAAUGUUUUGCAGAUCAAUAGUCUCACGGGAACAAAGAUGGAGUGGCUAUACCAUAUUCUUCAAGCAUUUAACGUUGGACACCUGAUUCGCUAUCAAGAACUAUGUCGGAUUCAUAAUGCUGCUUUGAAUGCACAACCUGCAUUAGUAGAAAAUGAGAAGAAGUUACUUGAAAAAAUUAAUAUUCUGUGCUUGAUGGAAAUAAUUUUCAGGUAAGAUUUUCAAGUGUCAAUUAAUUUCCAGAUUAACGUUAAGUACAUAUUUCUGCUCUUUCAUUUUUAGUGUGAUUGAGACUUUUAACCAUUUCCAAACUGAUACAUUCAAUUCCUUGCAGUCGGCCAUCUGAGGAUCGAACCAUUCCAUUGAAUAUUAUAGCUGAGCGAACUAAACUUUCUAUUCAAGAUGUGGAAUAUCUUCUUAUGAAAGCCCUUUCUGUAAGUCUAACCUUGCAUUUUUUACCCAUAGCUCUGAUUCUGCUGAAGGGAUACAUAAAAUGUCAAUAACUUGGGAAUUAAUUUAAUCACUGAAUGUUACUCCAGCCUUGUUGUGUUUUGCCCCCUUCCCUUUCAUGCCUUUUUUGUCAUGUAAUAUUUACAAUACUUUAAGCGAUGUAAUUGUUACUUUUUACGUUUACCCUUGGUACCUUAGCUUUUCAUUUGACUCCCCUAGCUUCUUAGUUGUUAUUGGUAUUCUUUCAUUCUGGAUUAUCUGGAUUUGUAUAGAAAUUGAAGUUAUGCUCGAUGAUUUGACACUUUUCAUUGCCCUCUUAAUUAGUAAUAUAGGCGGAUAUGUUUCACACUUUCGCUUAUAAUAUUCUCUGCUUGUUAGCCUUCCACAGUGUAUGCAUCUUACAUAUAUAGUUUUGUGAGCAUUGCUUUUAUUUUGUGACAUGUAGUUGUAAAUAGUGCUAUGCAUCACUGGGCAUGUUUGUCAACAAAAUGUAGUUCCAGCAAGAUGACUUGAACCUUAUUGUUGCAGAUCCUUCUGUGCGUUUGUAAGUAUGGAUUCCUUGUAAAAAUGUAUCCAACUAUUAGGGAAAAAGAAAAUCAUUUGCUUAUUGCAGGGCAUGUAGGCCUUCCUGUUAGGACUUGUUUGUAUCCUGGAACUUUCUUGCCUACAUGGCACAAAAUACAAACACACUGCUGGUAAUGCCGUAAACUCAUUUUUUAUGAAUUUUCUCUAUAUGUUGGGAUCUGUGCACCGGAAAUGAAUCUAUUUCAAGUAGUUGUGAAAAUCUGACAAUCAGUUGUAACUACAAUGAAAUAUGCUUUAAUUUCUUAGGUAUGUUGUUCUAAUAUUCUCAGUUGAAUUGUUGAAGAAAGCUGGGAAUUGAAUCGGAGCUAAAGCCCCAGUGUCUUAAACAGAUGGAGGCAGACCAAUCUCCACCCUCUGCCUAGAUAGCUGAGACUAGUGUUUUUUGUUGUACUAUAGGUCUUAGGCAUCCUAAUAUGCCGCUGAAAAGUUGCAUCUUUUUUUAAAACAUUCAGUUGGAAUGCUGAACUUUUUUUUUCUAGCCAUAUUAUUUCCUGCAUCAAAUUACAUAUAGCCUUAAAGAGUAAAUUCUUGGUGGCUGCAAUGACUUGCAGGUUCAUCUUAUUGAAGGCAUAAUAGAUCAGGUUGAGGGUACAGUACAUGUCUCGUGGGUGCAACCAAGAGUUCUGGGAAUUCCACAGAUCAAAUCAUUGCGUGAUCAUCUUGAUGCCUGGGUGGGCAAAGUGCGGACAGCCUUAUCGACGGUUGAAGCAGAAACCCCCGAUCUGAUUGCUACAUGAUCUGCGUUUGACACCUUUUCAUUUUCCAUUCCUCUGUUAACAGUUCCCCGCACAGGAGAAUUCAGAAAACCAAACAUUGGGAAUGCUCUUUAAUUGAGGUUCUUCGACCCCUUUAGAAGAUUUUGCAUUGAGGCGUGGUGGGCGAAUGCUGAGCAUGUAUUUUUUUUCUUGAUUUUUUGUUUUCAGAAAUGAAUUUUAAGCAUGCAUUGCAAUCAUAAACAUCAUAGUUUCUCCUAACUAUUUGAGUGGUUUCAAAUUCAAAAGUUAUCCAGAAAACGACGAUUCAUGAAUUCUCAUGCUGUCUUAUUUUACUGAAUGUUUUUGUAUUUCUGGAUGGAAAGAUAGAAAGUAAAAUGUCACUUGAUAUUAUUUAAAAAGGUGUAUGGAUGAUUCAAGCGUAUUUAGGUCAAACAUGCCACAUUGUUGGUGUUAAUCAUAUGCAUGGUAUGAUGCACAGCGUUGUUUGUUCAAUAUAAGCACACAAAAUUAUUGUAGUACAAAGGGGCUGCGAGAAAAAGGAAAAUUUUGAUCGGACUUUCAUGAUCAUCAUCUUACUGUCUUAAGAGCUCAACACUCUUUUCCGUGUUUAGUUGUGCAUCUUGCGAUUCAUUUUACUUCAUUUUACAUUGUUAGUAUUGCUUAUAAAAAAUAAUCUACUUCCCGUGUUUAGUUGUGCAUCUUGCGAUUCAUUUUACUUCAUUUUACAUUGUUAGUAUUGCUUAUAAAAAAUAAUCUACUUCAAACUCUCUAACUCUUCAUUAUGUGGUGUGAUAAGAUGGCAAACUCUCUAACUCGGGUUUGAGAGUAGGUCGAUGGCAUUGUCUUCGAUGUCUCUAAUCAUUGGUUUACUACGAAUAGUAAUAGAUCGAGGGUUCGAUAUCUCUAAUCAUUGGUUUACUACGAUGUCUCUAAUCAUUGGUUUACUACGAAUAGUAGGUCGAGGGCAGGGCGUUGCAUCUUCGAUGUCUCUAAUCAUUGGUUUACUACCGAGGAAUGGAUUAUAUAUAAAUUAUCUAGUUUUUAAAAUUUUGUUCAUAAAAAAAUAAGGUGAAUAAAAAAGUAUUUUCUUCUCGAGUUUUAACGAAUUUACUUCUUCUUAGAAAAAGAAAUGGAGAACCUCUCCGGAGUUACUGUGUUCUCAGUUCCUGUGCAAUGGAAGCUUAGUACUACUGCAGUGGCUGUCGGACUUGCUCUCCGAAGUCACGGAGGUUUGGGCUUGAACCCUAAAGCCACCAUUCUUAAACCCCUUAUUGUUCUAUGUUCAUUCCUUUGAAUCCUCUCUUAAAUGCUUGUUUUCGAUCUCCGUCGUCGAAAAUUUUGGCUCAAAAUUCUCUCUUUUCCCCCUCUCCCUCCCUCCCUUCUCGAUUGCAGAGAAGGGCUGGCUCAAUUUCUUGCCCGAGACCCUAAAUGAUACUGAGGGCGAGAGGGUUGUGCCGCCUGACCCCCCACCGAGCGUUCGAGUCCCCAAGAGCCUUCAGCAUACAGUCGCCUGACAGCUCCAGGCUCCAGCUUUGCCCUGAGAUCGUGGAGUCUACCGUCUCCUCAUGCCCGUCGGAUACGAUCGCAUUGAGCUUCUUCCUCUGGUGCGCCCGCCAGCCGAAUUACUUCCACGAUUCAUGUUCUUUUGACCGAAUGAUCCCUGUGGUCUUACGGCUCACCGACCGAUUUGGGUCUGUUAGGGAGAUUGUCAGGGAACAGCAGGCUGUUGGGUGCUCCGUAAAGGCGCAAACUUUCAUGGUUUUGAUCAGAGUUUGUUGGCGAGGGAACUUCUAUGGACGUGCAUUAGAGGCGUUUGAUGAAAUGAUUAAGCAAAAUUACGUUCCCAACACCUACGCCAGGAACAUGGUCCUUGAUAUCUUAUUCAAGGUGCAUUAUUUUGACAUGGCAUUGAAGUUCUUCAGGGACACCAGGUUUCCAAACUUCAUUAGUUACAAUAUAGUGCUAUCCAAUCUUUGCAAGUCAAGUGAUUGGCUGGGAGCCAGAGAUGUUAUAAGAGAGAUGGUAAAGAAGGGAUUCCACCUUAACACUGGCAGUUUUUCUGUGGUCUUGGACUGUUUUUGCAAGGCUGGGAGGCACAUGGAAUUGCUACAGUUACUAGCGCUCAUGAUUGUAUCCGGUAAACAGCUAACGGUAGCAAUCUGGACGAUUUUGAUUGAGAGUCUCUGUCAAGCUGGUCAAGUGGAUAGAGCAAGUACAUUGUUGGGAAAGAUGGUAGAGCAUGGGUGUUCACCCACUGUGAUGACGUACACUUCUCUAAUUAGAGGUCUCUUUCAAGCUCAGAAGUUUAAUGAGGUCUCCAUGCUCUUAGAAACCAUGAUAUCUAAUAAGUGCAGUCCUGAUCUGGUUUUUUAUAAUGUCCUGAUUGAUUGCUUUUCAAAAGCGAGAAGGUUUGAUGAUGCAAUUGAUGUUUUCCUUUGUCUAGGGGACAGUAGAUUACAUCCCGACGCUUAUACUAUGUCUUCUUUAAUAUGCACACUAUGUUCAUCCGGGAAAUUGAGAUUGCUUCCUAAAUUAAUAGCAGGAUCGGAUGUUACUGCUGAUCUGGUUGCCUGUAACUCAUUAAUAAAUGCUCUCUGCAAGGCCGGUUUUCCAUUUCAAGCAGUAGACGCUUUCGUCAAUAUGGUCAAUAGGGGUUUUUCUCCAGACGAUUAUAGUUAUGCUGGGUUGUUAAAUGGAUUAUGCAUGUCUGGAAGCAUUGAGAAUGCAGUCAAUGUUUAUAAUGCCAUUGUUGUGAAUAAUCCCAAUGUUGAUGCAUAUGUGCAUACAGUCAUCCUCAAUGGGCUUGUAAAAAGAAGAAAAUAUCAUAUGGCAAUUAGACUCAUCAGGAAAGCUGCCCUUCAAAAUUACUGCCUUGAUGUUGUGUCCUAUACAAUUGCUAUUAAUGGGCUUUUUAGAGGUCAUAGGUUUGACGAGGCUUGGCAUUUGUUUGAACAGAUGAAGCAUUUUGAUAUUGUUCCCAAUCUUUACACAUACAAUGUGAUGCUUUCCGGCUCUUGUUUGGCUAGAAACAUGGGUGCGGUUAAGCAAUUGCUAAAAGAAAUGGAGAUUACCGGAGUUGACAUGGACCAUACCUCAUUCAAUGUCAUAAUUUGUCUUCUGAUUAAGUUGCAUCGUUAUAAUUCAGCACUCCUUUUAUGUAGGAGAAUGUGUGAUCUGGGAAUGGUACCUAAUAGGAUCACUUGCUCGUUACUUUUGAAUGGUCUUGUUAAUAUCUCUGUUGAAGAAUUAUAUGAUCUUUACCCAAAACUGGCAUAUGACUUUAAGAAUCCUUAUUUUAUGGACAAUUCCCCAUCUGAUUUGCAAAGUGACCUUCUUGUAUGCUCCGCAAAUUAGAUCAUUUUUUGGAUGUCCAGCGGGAAAACAUGAACACAGGCAUUACCAUAAGUGCGUGGGUGAAGCAACUUGGACUUCUGAAUAGAGUCAUGAGAAAAUGGAUAAAGUUGCUACUGCUAUGACUUAUGAGUUUGGUACUCCAUUAGCUUCUGAAGUGCCCUCUGAUGCUUCAUUGCUCAAGAAACUUGUUGGCAUCACUCUGGGUACUAUAGAUGUCGUCUGGAAGCUUUUGAUACUCCAUAAUUGUCCUACGUAAGGACAGAAAGCAUGUGCAGAAAGGAAGCUUUUGAUGAUUACUUAAUUUUUUUGGAGGAAUGGCACAGAUCUCAUGUACACUGGCAGAGAAUUAGAUGUAAAGCAAGCAAGAAAUAUACAACAGAUCAUGGGGAUUUAAUAUGAGCACAAUGUAUUCUUCACUGGUGCAUGGCGUUGGCAUCACUUCUACUUAUAACUCAUUAUAAUUGAUAGAUCAGUGGUGGGUGCUUGACAACUUCACUGAACAGUGUCCUUUCGGACAGGUAUAGUUAUUUUCUUCUUAGUUGUUAGGACUUAGUGUAGCUAAUGACUAUUGCGAAAUUGGAAAUGGACUUUAAAGAUCCUUGGGCUGUUUUGGUUGGUAACAUGUGUUUCAACUUUUAAUUGCUCGUCAGUGUUAUUUUUUCUGGUUGAAAUAUGGGAGUUAGCCAGUGGUGGAAUUAAAAAGAAAAUGCUUGCUGUGUGGUUAUAUAGAGAAAAAAGACAUGUUAUGAAUUGUGGUAGUUCUAAGUUUAGAACAUGUUAUGAAUUCUUGGUAGCAUCCAAGAGGAGAAAAGACGUGUGAUAAUAAUUCUUGGUAUUUCUAAAGUUUCCAUGACCGUCCCCAUCAUGCAGUUUUUUCUUCUCCUUCUUGUGUUUGUUGCCUUUGUCUAUGGCAUUUUGAAAGUUUCCGUGACUCUGUCAUUAUGUGGAAUUAAUUUCUCGCUCCUUUCUGUGUUCCUUUCAAGAUGAUCAUCUUCUUCUGCAUUUUUUCUGACAGGGUGCUGACAACUGAGUCUUGAAAAGAGAAAUGGAGUCCCGUUAUUAUCCUGGGUCUUCUCUGCAACUGAAUUGCAGAAAUGUUGAUCACUUCUUUCACCAUUUAUGGUUAGACUUUAAUACCAUAUGAAUCAACUUUUUUCAUGAUCAGAGGGUGAGUCCGAGUCCCCUCCAAAGAAAUUGUUGCUCCAUCAGAACAGUAGCAUCAUUUGAGCUCUUUAUUUGCUCAUCUGGAAGGUGUUGCUGCAGAAUCCUUUAGGAAAAAGAAAACUACUGGCACCAGAGUUGUUCAUUGCUGUGAAGCCGACGGAUCGGCUUGCUGUAUGAUUGUGAUAGCGUGUAACAAAAUAGCACAUUAUGAAAUACAUGUACAUAUACAUGGUUAUCAUUAUUACAAAAGCUAUAGGCUACAUGAAAAUGGAGACCUGUAAAAGGCAUUUUUGAAGGAAGCAUCGCAGCAUGCAAUCACGGUUGUUUCUUCGUGACCAAAGCUUUCUUGCUUCUUUUACUGAAAGAUUACUACCCGAGUCCUGAAGAUAAAUUGUUCCAACAGAUCAAAAAGGAUCGAUUUCAUGGAUAACUUCUUGAUCUCUCGUGCGUAUGUCCCCUCCAACACUCUUAAACUCUAAAUAUUAGAAUUGCCUUUAUUAUUUUCAAAUUCUCUACCAUGCAUCUAUGCAAAAUUUUAGAUCGCAAAGAUAAUUAAUUAAUUUUGCAACUUUGAAAGAGAAGUUUUAAGAGGGGCAUACCAAGCCGAAAGAGAAAACAAACCGAGUCCCAAACAUCGAUCAUCUUUAGCACCUAAAUAUGAUACUGGAGAACCAAACGUGUAUCAUAUAACCUCAAACUUUAAUCACUUAUCCCGAAUAAAAACUCCAUAUCAAAGAGAUCAAUUUUGAUAAUGCUUACAGGUUCAAGCUUCCAUAUGGAUGAAAGGAAAUGAUUGUUGUGUUGACUCUUGUUCAAGAUGAUGAUGCGAUAAAACAUCAGAAUAACAGAAUCCGUAAGUAACAAAAGUCUGAGCUUAAUAAGAAGAAAUUGGAUUGCAGCACCUCGAUACAAGCAGCAAAAAUUGCGGAGUAUGAUGCAUGGGCAAAUACAGAGUACAUUUGUACAAAAGGAGCUUGACCACGAUGGAUUUAGUAAUAUGUGUCAGGUAUUUGAAUUGUUGUAAUAGUUCAUGCCUUUGAAGUUCCGAGUCUCCUGACAUCUGAAACAAGAGGCAUGUCUCUGCUGUAGUUGUUUACUUACAGAAGAGGUUAGUGCCGAGGAUAGGGUUGUUGGGAAGAAAGCGAAGCAGGGCACCAGCUAGACUUAUAAUGUCUUUUGUUACUGGAGCUACCAAAAGGAGACGGCACCUCCUCUGCAGGUAACCUGACUACAAUAUGCAUCCAAGUAUGAUCCGGCAGUUUGAUGUAAAUUGCAAUCUAAUAGGGAAAAGAAACAUGACCCCUUGCUCCUCGUCAAUGCACCACAGCUUAUUUGCCUAUAGAUGCAGUCCCCUUGAGUUGUUUGUGAAAGCAAGUUCAACAUGAGUUAACUUGAGAACAACAAAGCCCUUACCUUUACUGCAAUAGGAAAAUUUGUGCUCCCAUCCAAAAAGCUGUAGAUGUCUGAAGCAGCUCAGUAUUUAUGCUAUCCAAUGGCUUAAAAAGAAGAGAUCCAUCAGCAGAAUUUAUGCAAAAAUAAAGGAGACAAACGGAUGGCAAAUUAACCAAAAGUGAGAAGUGUAAAUUAGUCCCAAACUAUCGCAGACAAUGAAAUCAAAAUGAGUUUCUAGACAAAUAGGCAUGUCAUAAUACAUACUAUAAACUUAAUGGAAGUUAAAAAAUCAGAUGCUAAUUAUACAUGGAAGGAAUAACCCUGAGGUCAAUCAGAAAUUUGUGACUACUUCCAGAAACUCACAUCAUGAUUCCUUUCGGUCAUACUAGGUGUAAGUUUUUGUCAAAAGAAGCUAGCUAGCAAUCGGGGUCUUGUAUGGGGUUUGUGAUGUGCCAAGACUGUGCCAGUACAUGCGGCAAUGUGAUUAACUUGUACCAGUCAUCACAAUGCCCAUCUUACCAUACCAACCAGCACGUAUUGGUCCACCCAAGGGUUGGCAUGAUACUUUUAUAUGAAAUGUGACCCAUACUAUGAAAACUGAUAAUUAAGGAGGAUAAACUUUUAACAAUUUAUGAAGCAGAAAGUUGUGUAUCAUUAACUUAUGUAUGAAAACUAGGAUGAUCAAAUUGGAUUCCAACAUGCUCACAUGAUUAUAUAUCCUCUUUUCAUUCAUCAAGCAAGCCUCUCGCAAAUUCCCAUUAAAGCCUGAAUGUGAAAACUCCAUGUAUUCUUAGGAUGGAAAGAACAUGUAAAAAUAACAGCUAACUAAGGAUUCUAAUAAAAUAAUCAAGGCUGAUAGGAUGGAAAGAACAUGUAAAAAUAGCUAACUAAGGAUUCUAAUAAAAAUAAUCAAGGCAGAUAAAAAGGUUCAGUUUCUUGAAAACAUGAACUUUGAAAUUUUUUAGCAAUUAAAGCAAAGAAAAGAAUGAUUCAAUAAUGAGACAAACCUCCAAACAAUAGAUUCAUGACCAUGGCCGUGAAAGUGAGAUGAUGGAGUUUGAUGCAUUAAGACCUUGAUAUCCAUAUAUAGCAGACUCAAGUACAUUGUAUUGUUCAAUUACAGAACCAUACAAUGCCCAAACAAAAGCCUUCUUAGCCUGCAAAACAAAUCUUUAAACGUGGAAUCCAACAUAAAAAAUAAAGAUCAAUAGAUUGCUUAUUUUCGAUUGAGAAAUUGCAUUCAUACAAAGGACUAUUACUUUAUUCUUCUUUAAAGAGAUAUUAGUGUUCACAGAUGAUAACAAGUAUCUCGAAUAGGAAGGAUCAUAUACAUUCUUUUAGCAUGUAUACAUGAGAAUAUUGCUAUAUGAGAAUAGAUGGGAUGAUGCAAAAAACUCUCAGGAGGACAAGAAACUUGGGCACAGCAUUAAAUGUAUAUUUGACUACCAUGAAAAUCUUCAUAUGCACUAAAAACUACUUGGGAAUUAAUUUAUAGAUCCUAUUCUGCCAUCUAGCUAAAUCAAGUAUGAACCUUUUCUUCAUCAGAAGGCAAAGAUCUUUAUUGAAUUUGUAUAUUCUUUGGUCUUACUCCUCUUUUAUGGUGUUUUAUCUUCCGCUCAACCUCAAGAAACUUGUAUUGGACUAACUUCUUUCCACAUGCCACAAAUACCUCAAAAGUGGCCAGUCUGGAAACAUCAUUAUAACCAUGAAUUUAAAUAAGAGUCAAUACCAAUCAUAUUAAACCAGUCCAAAGCAAAACCACUAAGAGGUGUGCUGCCAGCACUGCCAUAAAGAGAAACUUCAAAUUCUUUUUUUCUGUAGCAGAAUAUAUUAAAUUAUACCAUGUCAGAUGGAUAAUCCUUUUAAGAGCCAGCAUCAGUAAACUUAAUUCAGACAAUAUAGCCUCAUCUCCCAAGUAUUCAGAAAUUAUUUCUAGCAUCCUUUUCCUGCCUUAUAGUUCUAUAAAGUAUGAAAGUAUAGAGUCAAUCGCAACAGGUCCUUUAUCAUGCUUGGAAUCUUUUAUGAUAUUCCUCACACCCACAGGAAACAGGAUUAUCUUGAAUAAACUUCUUUCCAAAAGUCAAAAUCAGUACCACCUUAAAUGUGAUCUCCAAAUGCCUGGAAUUCUAUUUUUUAACCCCAGAGAGGUCCAAUAGAAGGAAAUGAGCACAGAAGACCAUGGGAGUUGGAUAAAUUGUGCAGUAGAAAGAAAUACGCACAGAAGUAUGAGAGUUGGAUUAAUUGCGCCAAUAGAUUAAUUUCCGAAAAGGAAUCACAAAUUUGUACCAACGAAGACUUGGUAUGAUGUGCAAAUUCUUUUUUAGGAUAUCCUAUGUUUGCAAGAUAUCGCUACUAGCAUGUGUUGUAUUAUCCUAUCAGAAUGCGUUUCUCUCCUGUGGUUAGCCAUCUUUAGAAACUUCAACUAAUUAUAGUAAGUUUCAUAUAGAAUUUUAAUUGUCUGAAGUAAAUUAUAACACUACACACCAUCUGAAGUUCAGAAAAACCCAGAUUCUAUUCCUCUGUGAUGCCUCUUUUGUGAAAGCAGGAAGAUCCAGGUACCUGAGUUCAAAUCUUCUCAACUUUCAUUACAACAUGGUGUACCCAACUCUCCUCUUCUCAACUAAUGUGUUCAACUUGAAAAUUGCAUCCUUAAUAUAUGAGGCUGGAUAUGGCCAAUGUGUAUCCACCAUCUUGCUUGUCACGUGGUCUUUACUAACAGAUAAGGCAAAAAGCCUGACAAGUCUGGUUGACAGUAGAAUUGAUCUACUUGUAAAAUUAACAAAAUAACCAUGAUACAAUCCCAAGCACCUACACAUGCUUCUUUAUGACCAUUUGAGUUACCACCGAUUGUAGUAAUUUCUUCAGAUACACUUUAUAUUUCUUAGUUCACCUUCUUCAAGACUUUCUCUUGAUCCACCUCAAAGCAAAUUGUCGCGCAUGAAGAAUAAUUAUGUCCAUACUUGCUUCCAAGAAUCAUGGGCUUAGUUUUAUUGUUUUACACCCGAGAGCCUUUUUCCUGGACAAUCUAAAUAAGGCAAUCACCAAUUGUAAAAGAGAAAUCUAGCUUUGUGAUUCGCUUCUACAAAUUAAUAUAUUUCUCACCAAAUAUUAUCAUUAAGGGCAUCAAUGAUUUAAUCAGACACAAGCAUAUCAACACAGAUAAUAAAAAAUAUAAAAUUACAUAACAUGUGUCUCUUAAAAUGUGGAUGGUUAAAUUAAAUGUCAAUAACUGACCUCUUCAGCGUUCUCACAACCACUAGCAAUGUCAUCAAAGUUUAUUUCUGGAGCCACAGAUAACCCAAUUCCAUGAAAAGAAAAUUUUCUUCUCUCACCAAUUUGCUUUUCUACCUUUGGAAAAUAUUCAUAUAAAAACAUAAUACAAUGUACCAAUCCUAGACUGCAACAAUUAGGUAAAGCAUACCUCUGGUGGUGGAGGCAUGACGUCAUAACACAGCAAUGCUAGGGGAUACAUAUGCCCCAUUACACCAGAAUGGUCCACAAGUCUCCUCAUAUUGUCCACUGAAGAUUCAUCAAAUGAUGCCUGUACUCCUUACUGUCAGCACAAAUAGUGUAAUGAUAAUGAAGUGAAAAAACAAUCAGUUGUGAAGGAGAAUGGUCCUCCAAAGUAUCUCAUAAAUUGAGAAUCAUUUUAAAUCUCUGGUAUAGACCAAAAGAAAAUGCUAAAACAAAAAAUGCUUUGGUUAACCCAUGAUUUAAAGUUUCUGGUAUACCAAUCUGUACGGACUGGUAUUCACUGGUCCAACAGCCGACCAAUGCACACACCAGGCAAUUUCAUCCGGUCCGGUCCAAACCGAGUUUAUCAUUUGAUAAGCUCACCAUGCUGGAGUUACUGGGUAGUAGGUCGACCAGUACUAAUGUGACCAGUAAAUCUCUGUUUAUUGUUUUCUCCUAUUUUUAUAAGCUGUUGACAGCUACAUUAUCUGUUUUUUAUGUUUUUCUCCUUUUUUUUCUCUCUUCUCCACUGCCUCCUAUCUGUAACUCUGACUCUGCUUGUCCAGUUGGUACCAAUUAAUACCGUCCAUAACAACAAUUGGUAAACUAUAUGGUCCUAUCAUAGAACCAAUCAAUCUCCCAUCAUUCAGUAGUAGACUGAGAUUUUAAUCCUUGGAUUAAUCCUUUUCUGAAGUCAUAAAUCUUUUUUUUUGUUACAAGAAUCCCUUUUCACUUUGAUCAUGCACUCGAUGAGGAUUUACAAUAUUCAAACUUCUUUCAAGUAACUUUUCAGUCAAAUUCACCAAAUAUAACACAAUUUCCACCAGAUACUUGACCCAAGAUCUGAUUGCAACAUAGCAGGCUGGCACAGGGACAUAUAACUUGGAACUCUAUGUUGUUAUUAAAAUCCAAUUGAAACAAAAUGUUCCAGCAGAAAUGUCUGCAAUUAAAAUCUUCAGCUACCAUAAAUUAAAAAAAGCUGCAUUG